rnacentral:rRNA from 1 species
UACGGAGGGUGCAAGCGUUAUCCGGAUUCACUGGGUUUAAAGGGUGCGUAGGCGGGCAGGUAAGUCAGUGGUGAAAUCUCCGAGCUUAACUCGGAAACUGCCGUUGAUACUAUUUGUCUUGAAUAUUGUGGAGGUAAGCGGAAUAUGUCAUGUAGUGGUGAAAUGCUUAGAUAUGACAUAGAACACCAAUUGCGAAGGCAGCUUACUGGACACAUAUUGACGCUGAGGUGCGAAAGCGUGGGGAGCAAACAGG